UACCAGCUCUCCGAGUGGUAGGGAUGAUUAUUGGGCUUAAAGCGUCCGUAGCCGGCUUAGCAAGUUUCCUGUUAAAUUCAGCGACCUAAUCGUUGAGCCGCGGGAAAUACCACUAGGCUAGGAGGCGGGAGAGGUCGACGGUACUUCUGGGGUAGGGGUGAAAUCCUAUAAUCCCGGGAGGACCACCAGUGGCGAAGGCUGUCGACUAGAACGCGCUCGACGGUGAGGGACGAAAGCUGGGGGAGCGAACCGGAUUAGAUACCCGGGUAGUCCCAGCUGUAAACGAUGCGGGCUAGGUGUUGGGGUGGCUACGUGCCACUUCAGUGCCGCAGGGAAGCCAUUAAGCCCGCCGCCUGGGUAGUACGGCCGCAAGGCUGAAACUUAAAGGAAUUGGCGGGGGAGCACCACAAGGCGUGAAGCUUGCGGUUC
rnacentral:rRNA from 1 species